rnacentral:rRNA from 1 species
AAGAUUUGGUUCUAGUCUUUUUGAAUAGCUAUGUCAUAAUUUUACAUGUGAAGUUUUCUAUGAGAGUGUUUUAUCUUAAAGAUGAACAAGUUCUUAUUCGCAGUUUUUUAUAUUAAAUAAUUUAAUUCAAGUUAGAAUUAGUUAAUGGUUUAAAUGAUUGGCUAAUAGUGUGCCAGCAGCUGCGGUUAUACAUUUAAUCAAAGUUAUUUUUAUUUAAUUAUAAUGACUAAUAUUAUGAGUAUAUAUAUUUUAUUUUUAUGGUGAAAUAUUAAAAUAAUUUUAUUAUCUUUGGUUAGGAAUUUAUGAAAUUUUUAUAUAAACUAGGAUUAGAUACCCUAUUAUUUUAAAUGUUAAGUUAAGUUAGUAUUAAUAGUUAUGAUCUUUAAAUUAAAAGAAUUUGACGGUGGUUUAAUCUGUACAGAGGAACCUGUAUUAUAAUCGAUAAUCCACGAUAAAUUUUACCUUAAGUUUAAGUUUGUAUAUCUCUGUCUUAAGAGUGUUUUAUAAGAAUAUUCUCGGAGUUUAAUUAAUUAUAAAUUAUGUCAGGUCAAGGUGCAGCUUUUUAAGGAUUUUAUGGGUUACAUUAAUAUUUUAAUUAUGUAUGAUGAAUAUGUAAUAUUUUUCUAA